GAUGAACGCUGGCGGCGUGCCUAAUACAUGCAAGUCGAGCGAACAGACGAGGAGCUUGCUCCUCUGACGUUAGCGGCGGACGGGUGAGUAACACGUGGAUAACCUACCUAUAAGACUGGGAUAACUUCGGGAAACCGGAGCUAAUACCGGAUAAUAUAUUGAACCGCAUAGUUCAAUAGUGAAAGACGGUUUUGCUGUCACUUAUAGAUGGAUCCGCGCCGCAUUAGCUAGUUGGUAAGGUAACAGCUUACCAAGGCAACGAUGCGUAGCCGACCUGAGAGGGUGAUCGGCCACACUGGAACUGAGACACGGUCCAGACUCCUACGGGAGGCAGCAGUAGGGAAUCUUCCGCAAUGGGCGAAAGCUUGACGGAGCAACGCCGCGUGAGUGAUGAAGGUCUUCGGAUCGUAAAACUCUGUUAUUAGGGAAGAACAAAUGUGUAAGUAACUAUGCACGUCUUGACGGUACCUAAUCAGAAAGCCACGGCUAACUACGUG
rnacentral:rRNA from 1 species